GUAUUUUUACGAAAGACAGGUCGACUGAGCUGCGAACUGGGACUGGAUGUGAGACUGGGACAGAGUUUGAUAGCAGCCAGCUGCUGGUAAUGAAAUUUGGAACGCCUUGGCCGUGAAGUGAGCGUAGCUGUUAUAAUUACGCAAGCCAUUAGCCAAGUUGCCAGAGCCAAAAGCAGUUGCGUUAAAUUUCAUUUGCCCGUUCUGCUAAAAUAUUGUUCAACGUGCCGGCAACUCAGCUUCUGCUGCUGUUCUUGCCUCUCACUCUUCGUCAACUCGUAGCGAAAAGCGAACAAUGCAAAAAUAUCAGGCGGAAUACUAUCAGAAAUUAUCGCAUGCGAUUUACAGCCACGUCGCAGCCGGAACCGGACGAGCUGCGAAAGAUUUAUCCCCGUUACUGCUAUCGACCACCACAGGCCGACAAGUCCUCAAUUUAAGCCUACGAGAAGUACAUGACAGAAACUAGAAAUAUUUUCUUAUUGAGUAAAUGAAAGGAGACUUGAUUGGCAGAGAUUUAAAUAAGUAAGCAUGCACGAGUCGCGAGACCUCGACUUGGUAAUACCCUAAA